GGGAUUGUAGUUCAAUU
rnacentral:tRNA from 1 species